UACGUAGGUGGCAAGCGUUGUCCGGAUUUACUGGGCGUAAAGAGCGCGCAGGCGGUUAUUCAAGUCGAAUGUGAAAGCCCCCGGCUCAACCGGGGAGGGUCAUUCGAUACUGUUUGACUUGAAGGCAGGAGAGGGUAGUGGAAUUCCCGGUGUAGUGGUGAAAUGCGUAGAUAUCGGGAGGAACACCAGUGGCGAAGGCGACUACCUGGCCUGUUCUUGACGCUGAGGCGCGAAAGCUGGGGGAGCAAACGGG
rnacentral:rRNA from 1 species